rnacentral:lncRNA from 1 species
AUCAUGUGUUGAUAAAAAUAAGUGGUUAAUCUUUGCCAUUUAAAAAGAAACAGAAGUGAUUGUGUUGGCAGCAAGUGGACUUUUAUCUACAGAGAGAGAGGCCUAUGCUCGUGUGGAAAUAAAAAUAAUCCUAUGAACAGCAGGGUUUAGAUGGACUAAUAAUGAGGAUAAUAAGAAGUUAUUAAAGCUUGUAUCUUACUAAUAGUAGAAUGGCCUUAGACAUAGGAUGCAUGUUGGUUUACUAUUAAGGGGA